AUUACAGAAUGAAUAGCUGGUUAUUACAGAAUGAAUAGCUGGUUAUUACAGAAUGAAUAGGUGGUUAUUACAGAAUGAAUAGGUGGUUAUUACAGAAUGAAUAGCUGGUUAUUACAGAAUGAAUAGCUGGUUAUUACAGAAUGAAUAGGUGGUUAUUACAGACAAACACUAUUUUCAAUUAAACAUAUUGAGUUAUUUCAAAACAUCCGUCUCGUUGUCUAUAUCAGAUUGCAUACCAUCUAAAUAAACAGAAAUUGUCUCCACAAGUCUCUACAUUUUUGACAAUGUUUUUUGUGUGGGGGGGGUGCAUUUCACAAUAAGGCCAAUAGACUAGAAAAGUCAUGGGAAAGGCAAGGUGUGUAUAGGUAGUGGUAAGGAGUAGUGAACUGCAUGUAGUUCAACUAGUAAUUUAACUACAUUUUGCAGUAGCUUGGUGGUAGUUGAACUAAAUUCAAAUCUUGGUAGUGUUUUUAGUGUUUUCAUUACUUGUUUGCUA
ensembl:lncRNA